rnacentral:rRNA from 1 species
UGGGGAAUAUUGGACAAUGGGCGCAAGCCUGAUCCAGCCAUGCCGCGUGUGUGAUGAAGGCCUUAGGGUUGUAAAGCACUUUCAACGGUGAAGAUAAUGACGGUAACCGUAGAAGAAGCCCCGGCUAACUUCGUGCCAGCAGCCGCGGUAAUACGAAGGGGGCUAGCGUUGUUCGGAAUUACUGGGCGUAAAGCGCACGUAGGCGGAUUGAUCAGUUAGAGGUGAAAUCCCGGGGCUCAACCCCGGAACUGCCUUUAAUACUGUCAGUCUAGAGAUCGAGAGAGGUGAGUGGAAUUCCGAGUGUAGAGGUGAAAUUCGUAGAUAUUCGGAGGAACACCAGUGGCGAAGGCGGCUCACUGGCUCGAUACUGACGCUGAGGUGCGAAAGCGUGGGGAGCAAACAGGAUUAGAUACCCCCGUAGUCC